UGUAUAAUGGGUCAGCGACUUAUAUUCUGUAGCAAGGUUAACCGAAUAGGGGAGCCGAAGGGAAACCGAGUCUUAACUGGGCGUUAAGUUGCAGGGUAUAGACCCGAAACCCGGUGAUCUAGCCAUGGGCAGGUUGAAGGUUGGGUAACACUAACUGGAGGACCGAACCGACUAAUGUUGAAAAAUUAGCGGAUGACUUGUGGCUGGGGGUGAAAGGCCAAUCAAACCGGGAGAUAGCUGGUUCUCCCCGAAAGCUAUUUAGGUAGCGCCUCGUGAAUUCAUCUCCGGGGGUAGAGCACUGUUUCGGCAAGGGGGUCAUCCCGACUUACCAACCCGAUGCAAACUGCGAAUACCGGAGAAUGUUAUCACGGGAGACACACGGCGGGUGCUAACGUCCGUCGUGAAGAGGGAAACAACCCAGACCGCCAGCUAAGGUCCCAAAGUCAUGGUUAAGUGGGAAACGAUGUGGGAAGGCCCAGACAGCCAGGAUGUUGGCUUAGAAGCAGCCAUCAUUUAAAGAAAGCGUAAUAGCUCACUGGUCGAGUCGGCCUGCGCGGAAGAUGUAACGGGGCUAAACCAUGCACCGAAGCUGCGGCAGCGACACUAUGUGUUGUUGGGUAGGGGAG
rnacentral:rRNA from 1 species